UACGUAGGGUGCGAGCGUUGUCCGGAAUUACUGGGCGUAAAGAGCUCGUAGGUGGUUUGUCGCGUUGUCCGUGAAAACUCACAGCUCAACUGUGGGCGUGCGGGCGAUACGGGCAGACUGGAGUACUGCAGGGGAGACUGGAAUUCCUGGUGUAGCGGUGGAAUGCGCAGAUAUCAGGAGGAACACCGAUGGCGAAGGCAGUUCUCUGGGCCGUAACUGACGCUGAGGAGCGAAAGCGUGGGGAGCGAACAGG
rnacentral:rRNA from 1 species